CUGCAGCCUCUUUCUACAAGACACACGAAGAAGAAGCCGCUGUUUAUAUAGAGGCGCGGCUCACCAGCGCGGCCUCUUGGCACGUGGGAAUCUCGCUGACACUCCUAAGAGGGAGGAGCCUCUCGGGGGCAUCUGUUCACCAGGAGCUUCUGACCUGCAGGGGGCAGUAUCUGCACAGUGGAAGCUUUGGACCUUCAACCGGUGGAGCUGCUCUUCAAUCAAAACAAGAAUUUCAAUUAGUCCCAUUUUUGUUUUCUUCAGUUUUCCUGUAAAUGUUUGUUUUUUGGUGAAAAUAAACUGUUUUAAAUUAA